UACGGGGGGUGCGAGCGUUGUCCGGAAUCACUGGGCGUAAAGGGCGCGUGGGUGGCCUGAUAAGGGUGUGGUGAAAGUCCGGGGCUCAACCCCGGAUCUGCCGUGCCGACUGUUAGGCUGGAGUACUGUAGGGGCAGGCGGAAUUCCGGGUGUAGCGGUGGAAUGCGUAGAGAUCCGGAGGAAGACCGGUGGCGAAGGCGGCCUGCUGGGCAGUUACUGACACUGAGGCGCGACAGCGUGGGGAGCAAACAGG
rnacentral:rRNA from 1 species